UCUGCCCAGGAGCUCUGCACAUGCGUACUUAGGUGUGGGCAGGUAACUGGAAAAGACGGUUGGGAGUGGAGGAACUCUGGCCUCAGAGGCUCUGAAACUUGGGUUUCAGUGCGCUGCCAGCUGCCUCGUCUGCUUCUCAGAGAGUCAGUGCUAUCUCGCUGAGCCAGCAGGAGAAGAAAAUCGCCACGUAUUCCCAACCCAGAGGAAGAAGAUCGCUACUCGCGUUUCCAUUGUGGGACAGGAUAAAGUCCACCCAGGGACACUUCAGUGAAGUGCAGCUCAGCUUCUCAUAACCGAAUUUUCACAUUUCGUUAGUUUCCGGAUUUGAUAAAUUUCAUGGGACUACAAAGUACAAUUAACACAAAUUCAUCUCAUGUGUAAGGUUACUAAUCUCCACGAACUUCAUGUUUGCUUCAACUUCACCAACCUGCUAUUUCUUCCUAACUACUCAUCUCUGACUCCCUAUUCUUAGAGAAUUCACAUUAGAAGUCUUUAUAUGUUAAAUUCUCCUCUGCAUCUUUAAGUUGUUCUCCUCCUAGCCUCUUAGCACUUCUGUGGCACAGAACUGUGUCAAGGACCAGAGUGUCAUGUGUGAAUUACAACACUCAGAAAUGACUAUCACCAGAAGUUCCCCAUCUUUAGAGUGACUGACUUCUCUAACUGCUCCAAAGUCAGCAGAGGCAGAUGAUGAUGGUCCAAGGGCAUGGUACAUCCUGUAUCCUGAAAUCUUCCAGCUCCUUUGCUCCAGGACACUGUGAAAGGGAAUCUUGGAUGCCACCUUCAUACCCAGUUAAGAACCCUGGGCCUGUCUGGGACUUUUUCUUGAUUCACAAUUGAUACAGCAGGGCCUGCCCAUUGUGGGUGGUACUGUCAUCCCUAGCCAGCAGUGCCUGGGUUGGGCAAGGAAAGUAGCUGAGCUUCAGCCAGGGAGCAAGCCAGUAAGCAGUGUUCCUCCCUGGUUUCUGUUUCAAGCUCUGCCCUUGAACUGCUCCCUUGGCUUCCCUGGAUGCUGAACCACAAGCUGUUGUAUAAAAUGAAAGUGUGAAUUCAGCCUUCGCUAUCACAAACUGUGUGCUUGAGUUUACCUCAUCAGUGGAAACUGCAGAAGUGAGCACUUCAGAGAGUGGAGGAUGAGCCUCUCCAUGGGAAAGCCACUUUGUAAUGACACUGGUUCCCCUGCAAGAACCCAGAGCAUCCUCCAGAUCCUCACUGUGACAACCAUCCAGGAGUGCUGAGCUUGAUGGGAUGAGAUCAGCAAUACAGCAGCAAUUUCAGAACAGCCUCCUGUGGUUUUCUGGUCCAGGUUGCUUCGACUCCAGAUGCUUUAUAGUAAAAUGUGUCACUGAAGAGAAGGGGACUACUGAUCUGAAUGGAAAAGAGCAAUGGAUUGAAACAUCAGUUCCACAGAAUCCAUGCAGCCUGAUAAGGAACAAGAGAGGGAGCUCUGUCAGCUGUGGCUGCUCUCUCUACACCCUGGGCCCAGGUAUAAGAGGAAGUGUUGAGAGUCUGUCCUCCAGAAGGUAGCCUUCCUGCUUAUCCAUUGUUGUCUCAUGGAUUGAUAGUUACAGAAGACCAGGUAAUUAACUUUAUCAUAACAUAUCAUUGCACAUUCACACACGUCUCUCAGUGGAUAUAAAAUUUACUCUGUGUGUACAUACGAGUUCACAGUAAUGUGCAUAUGAGUGCAUGUGAGGAGCUCAGAGGACAAGCAUCAGGAGACUGUUCUCUCCUUUACCCAUACGGGAUGUGUGGAUGAAGCCUGGAAUGGACAUACUGCUAUCCAAAAUGCUAUUGAUGUGAGUCAUU